UAUCUAGUUUCUUUAUCUUAUGCAUUCAUAUUUACUAACUAAUAUAUAUAUGUUUUCAGCAAUGUCGAUUCCCAGUAUGCACAAUAAAAGCCAAGAAGAUAGGCAUUUCUGAGUGGCAUUGGAGAUCGGUGAUUCCUGUUUGCAUCAAAGAAGUCGAGAGUGAAUAUGAUAUAACAGACUGGCUGGGUCUGGGCGGGCACUGUCAAACGAGCAAUGCUGAACAUGUUCCUGAAAAUAAGUAAAAUAAGGAGCAUAGGAUAUUUUAAUUUUGCAAAAUAUCUACUAGAACGAAUUAUACAAAAUAUUAACCUACCAAGGAUUCUUCAUUAUGGCGGAAGUAAACGUUUCCGUCUGUCAGCCUCUCUGGCUGGUAUGACUUCCCCUUUGUAUUCGCACAGGUAAUAAAGCUACAUAAGUGAAUGACGCCAUGGUUGAUCUUGAUUCAAAUAACACACUGCUUAUUAAAAGUCAUUAAAAAGCGGAGGUAUUGCCAAGUUUGCGAAUGACGAAUGGAUGAGGCCAAAUGCCAAGGUUUUGAAAGACAUUGAAAACGGAAGGCCGCAUCUCUUCCUCAAAACAACAAGGAAGAUAACAAGAGGCCCCUUGGACCACAUCGCUCACCUGAGCAACAAUGGGCGUUCAAAAGAUAUUGUGCCAUAUGGUCCCUCGGUAGAAUAACAAAAAAUAAAUAUUGUAAAGUAUUCGAACUUUACACUUACUUUUGCAUACACGUACGCAGGAAUACUCUCCUCAUAAAGAAACAUCAGUGGAUGAGGCUAUGGUAGCAUAUACUGGGCCUUUAUGAUUCAAACAGUACGUCCCUUUGAAGUCAACAAAACGAGGGAGAAAAGUCUGGAUGAGGGCAAAUCCGAACAAUGGGAACGUCAAUGAGUGCCAAGUGUACACAGGGAAAGAAAGCAACGUAGCAGAAAAAGAACUCGGAGAACGUGUUGUUAAAGACCUAAUAAGAAGUAUAUGGGGAAAGUAUCACCACAUCUAUUGCGACAAUUGCUUAACAUCAGUUGAUCUUUUCCAUGAGGUGUUGGACAACAAAACCUACGCAUGUUGCACAAUAGGAAAUGACUUCCCCAUGCAGUCUCCAAAUGUAAACGGAAAAUGCAAGUACAGAUGGCACAGCGACAAAAUGAUGCCAAGGUGGCAACAGCCUGGCACGACAAGUGAACGGUGACACUGCUCUCAACAAACUCCAAUCCACUAGAAAUGAGGUUCAGAGAAAGCAGAAGGAUGGGACUAUCAUCAAUGUAGCAUGCCCAAAAGUCCGGAAAUUGUACACACAGAAUAUGAAUGGGGUGGACAGAGCUGACCAGCUGAGAUCAACUUACAGCAUUGCCAGAAAAGCUGCUAAAUGGUGGAAGUAGCUCUUCUGGUGGUUCAUGGUGGAUAUGACCAUUUGCAAUACGUUCAUCCUGAUGAAGGAAUCUCCGAAUCACAUCCUUACAACAAAGUCAACAAGGUGGAGGGAAAGGAACCAGCAAGAAUUCCGAAAAAAAUAUUGCCCACCAGCUCAUCGGUGACAUCUGAGGUAAAGGGAAACGGAAUCCGUAGACGAGCACCAAACAAGAGGACUAUUGCAUUGGCCAGCAGAAAUGGACAAAAAGAGGACGACAUGCAAACAAUGUGCUAAAAACAGAAUUCGAAGAAAGAGAAUUGGUGGAUGUGAACAGCGUGGUGUUAACUUGUGGGUUUCUUGUUUCAAGCCUUAUCACAAGGAAAAACAUCCAGAAUUGUUUAAUUAAUUGGACACAUUAGACAAAGGCCACCGACAACAAUGUAAAUGUGUGAAAUAUCUUAAAUGUUUUAUGAUUUAUUUUCAAACUUUGGACUAAUUUUUUACUGGAUUACGAAUCAAUGUAUUAAAAAUCUAUGCUGAAAAUUGGGCGAGUUUUUAUCUAUAAUCAAUGAAGUUAUAGCUGUUUAUAUGCAGGAAUAGGGGUAUGAAUGAUGCGUGUAUAAUAUUGUUGUAGAAUAGGAACAAACUGUUUGGCUGAUUUAAACAUGUUGCGAUUCCUCGGGUUGUGGGUGAGAACAAAAGGAAUUUUGGUAUUGUUGCUUUCCUCACGUUGUUUGAUUGAUCUAAGUUCUGCAAUCGGUGUUUCUGUCGCCUCUCGUAUUGCUGAUUCGAUGAGCUGUAUAGGAUAUUUUUGUCUAGUAAGACAUGUUUUAAGUUCGGACAGUCAUGUUUUCCUCCGUUCUUCAUCUACAACGAUGAUACAGAUUCGCCGGGCCAUAUUAAAAGGGAUGUUUCGUUUUGUAUGAGAAGGAUGACAUGAAUCAAAAAUCAAAUAUUGGUGAGAAUCUGUCUUCUUGUAGAAAAGAUCCGUAGUAAUUUUCAUUCCCUCUUUUAUCACUAAAAUGUCCAAAUAGGGUAAUUCUUUUUCACUAAUUUUUAUUGUAAAUUGUAGGCUGUCAUGUAGAGAAUUAAGAAUUUUGUGGAAAUUUUGUAAGUCGUCCAGUGAUUUUGUCCAAUAAAUGAAACAAUCGUCUAAGUAGCGUUUCCAGUUGUUUUUUAUGUGUAGGGCAUAUUCUUCUCCAAAAGAUGUUUUGCACUCUGACGCAAGUUUUUCUUCGAGGUAACCAAAAACCAAAUUGGCGUAAGUGGCGGCAACCUUUGUUCCCAUGGCUGUUCCUUUUGUCUGUAGAAAAUAUUUGUCAUCAAAGAAAAAAUGAUUAUUUUCCAGUACGAGUGCAAUUCCCUCAAAGAUAAAUUCUUUCGAAAAUCUUGAUUGUAGAAUGCUUUCAUUUUUGUUCAUCCAGUAGUCAAUGGCCUCAAUGCCCAGGUUGUGAGGUAUGUUUGUACAUAAACUAGUUACAUCGAAACUCACUAGAUGUGUAUUAUCUUUGACGGUAUUUGGUAUAUGAUUUUAAAAAGUCCAUGUCAUCCCGAAUAUAGCUCGGUAUUAAUUUACAGAGCGGUUUAAGUAUAAUGUCUAGGAAAUUGCUAAGUCUUUGUGUUGGACAGGAAGAACCAGCCACGAUUGGACGAAGUUUCAAGUCUGUUGGACGCGGUAGUUUAAUAUAAGGUUCACAUAAGUUGUGUAUUCCAGUUUGAAUUUGUUUCGACUUGUGGAUUUUUGGUAAACCGUAAAAGUUACUGGUUUUCACCUCGAAGUUGAGUAGAAAAUCUUCUUCUUUGUCUGUUAGAUUUUUAGUAAACUUUGUAACAUAUUUCUUAAUUCUAGACAUGGUUUUGCUGUCUUGGUUUGAUGGUAGUUCUUGGUAAAAAUGUAUAUCAUUUAAUUGUUCUAGUACCAUUUCUUUGUAGUGGUCUUUAUCCAUGAUGACGAUUGCUCCGCCUUUGUCAGCUUCCUUUAUAAUAAUGGUAUUAUCACUUCUAAUAUUUUCUAAUGCUUUUCUUUCUAAUAUUGUGAUGUUAUCUCGUACACGGAUAUCCGUCUGGUUUAUUUGAGCAGCGGUUUUAAAGCAAUUGAUAUAAUCUUCUAAUUGUUUGUCUCUGUUUGAGUUCGGUUUAAAAUUACUUUUAUUUCUCACCAAUGAUUCAUCGCUAUUUUCCGAGUUUUGAAAAAACUCUCUAAGUCUGAGUUUCCUACAAAAUUCUUCGGUAUCUUUGAUAACAUCCACGUCGUUCUUUUUAGGAGUUGGAGUAAAUUUAAGACCCCUUUUAAGUAGCUAUAUCUCAUGUGUAGAGAAAUUUCUCUGAGAAAUAUUAAUUAUUUUGGGGUCUAUAUGUGCCAUUUUUUCUAGAUAUGUUUGAAGCGAAACGUAUUCAUGCGAUGUUUGUGAAACUGGCCUCUCCACAAAAAAGGAUCACUUCGUUGUUGGUUUUGGUUUGUUUUUGAUUCCAAUCGUUGAUGGUAUUUUGCUAAGGUUGGUCGAAGUGAUCUGAUUUUCUCCUAUUAUCCUCUCUUCUGUUGUUUUGCGUUUCAAAUUCGUUCUUUCCCUGUAUGUCGUUGUUUUCACUGUAAUUGUUGUGUCUGAUUUCUUUGUUUCGCCAUUGUUUUUGUCGAGGCAAAGGUAUUUCGCGUCUUGAAUGAGAGUUCUGAUUGUUGUUUUCAUUUUGUUGAAGAGAAUUGAUGUCAGGUUUCUGACAAUGGUGAUUAUUUAUCCCGCGUUUACGACGUUCAGGACUUUUCAUAAUUGCAUUUCCAUAAUUGUUUGCAUGAUCUUCUAGCCAUUUUUGUUUUGAACGAAGAAAAUCAUCUGAUUUGAUUUUUUCUUGAUUUGUUUCUUUUUCCCACAGUCCACGGAGUUUGAUUUGCAUGUCGUUGCUUGAUAUGUUUGCGAUCUCGUCAUGCAUUACUUGAUCAUGAUUCUCGUAUUUCGCCCUGUACUUGGGUACUCUGAGGCGUAACAGUGAAAUUUCGGCGUCAAAUUUUUGAAUAGCAAGGUUUCUUCUAAUUGUUGUCUCCUCCUCCGGUUCGUUGUUGAUAGGUUUUGCCCUGAAUUUACGGGGUAAAAUUACCCCCUUGUUUUGCCUCCAUUUUUCAUAAACAUCUGCUGAAUUUUCACAGCGAAUUGCAUUCCAGUAUGCUUGUUUUCUCUCAUUUAACAUUUUUUUCCAAAUUGUUAUCUCUUUCUUUUUAUCAUGUACAGAAUUUUGAAAGAUUGUUCAUUGUUUUCUUUAUAUUGUUUUCUGUUAUAUAUUUUCCCUUUUUAUAAAGUGAAAGAAAACAAUGAACAAUUGCGUAAUGCUAAAGAAAAUCAUUUUGUUAAACUGUUUAAACCUAAGUUAAAUUCUUAAUAUUUUGUAUUUUUAACAUCUGCAUAUAUAUACAUGUGAAUAAUUAUGUACAAGAGACACUGGACUUUUAUCAUUAUAAUUGUGUUGACUCUUUUUAUGCAUUGUAUAUUGUUUUGACGUCACAAUGUUUUGACGUCACUAUGUGUUGACGUCAUAAUCACGUCUUCAACAGUUUGUUUGUAUAACGUUGCCUACCUAACGUCACGAGAUUGACGUCAUAAUGUUCUUGUUUACUUUGUUUUAAGAAAUGAAGAUAAUAAUUUUUCUAUUGAUCGACGUAUCAAAGAGAAAAUUGACCGGAAAACUUCAUCAAUGCGCGUAAAUUGAAAAUAUAAUAUUAUGUAAAUUUUAUUGUGUAAGGAACAUGGGCAAACAUAUUGCUGAAAAUAGAAAGAAGUAUAGGCAAAAUAAUCGUGAAGAAAAACGACGUAAGAAGCAGAAGCUGAAAAAGGAAAAGGAAAUGACAUAUCACUAUUGUUGCAAUGCUUCAUCCUGUCCGUACAAGUCAUCUUAAUCAUCUUCAGGAUCUUCCUUGUCACCAUCAUUGACAUCUUCAAAUUCAUCAGACUCGUCAUCGAUAGUGACAAAAUCAAAGGCAACAGAAAACAGACCCCUGAUUACGUUUACGUCAGAGUACAUCAUGUUAAAGAAAAGAGUAGCUGCUAUUGAGGACAGAGAAAGUCGCUAACGGGGUGAUCCUCAUACCAGCUUGCCGUGGAAAGGUGUUAAUCCUCAAACCUGGCAGAUUUGGAGAGAUGACCAAUAGUGUUUACUAUUUCUUUAUAGAUCACUACAUCAAAUACAAAUUACCAAGUCAUGAAAUUCCUAAUCCGUGUGUGGGUGGGGGGAAUUAAGAUGCCUAUUACUCCAACUUCUCAAUCUUUCAAUGUAAAUUUAGGAGCAAUUACAUUUUCGGCGAGAAAAAGUGGGGGGCUAAACCCUCUAAG